GUCAAAGCAUAAACCACAGAGUUACGGUCUUCUUUGGAUUUUGGAGUAUCGCUUCCUGCCCCCGCCUUCCCUCCCCGCCCCAUUCUCUGUCCUAUUGAACACCUCGCCCAGCCUAGAGCUCACAUUCUCCCCCUGCUCCCGAUGGCGCUCCUGGAAGCUCUGCAACUAUGCUCCACUUCAAAUGGUAAUGUCUCCCCAGUGAAAGGAAAAAGACUGCAGAGGCUUCAGACUGACGGACGCUCAUGCCAACUGUGAAGUUGAAACAAAGCCAGUGACCAGCUGAAGAGGCCCCUCCUGCCCAGCAGCCACCCACAUGGUGCAGUUGCAGCCAGUAGUAAUCUUUGCAAGAAGCAGAGAAGCCCAGAACACUCAUGAGUCAAAACCAUGCCCUUCCUUGUGUGUAUCCCUGUCUCGUUCAGAUUGAUGCUCCUUCCAUUUGGAUCCUGGUAUGAAUAUGCUUGUUACUGUACGAGUGUAAAAAGCUUUGCCCAAAUGUGUUAAUGUAUGAAGAGACUGGAUUUUUUUUGGGGGGGGGAGAGAGUUAUUUUUAUCAAAACACAGUGUUCGUUCUUGAGAGUGAUCUAGAAAAUAAAAAGCAGUUGGAAAAGACAGCAAAGCAGUCACAGGCGAUCCACAGAGAUGCUCACACCACCACACAGAAACACCACACCAUGCUCCCAGACUCUGAGCAGGGAGCUUGACUCUGUGACAUACUAUGGCUGCUGCCAGGGGUCAACGUCAAGCCAGACAAAGGUGCAGAAGCUUCCUGAAGUGUAGUGAUAAACUGAGUCAGGAGACAAUAAGAACAGCAACGACACAAAAGACAACGUCCUUGGAGGGAGCCAAGUGGGUUUGCUUAAGGAAGGAUGCUCCCUUAAAGAGAGAAUGGGAAAUCAACCUUUAAAGGAUGUAAAAACAAAACUAGAUAAAUGGGAAGAUAGGAGAAAAUAGAGUCCUUAAUGCAAGCAUAAGGGUAAGCAGCAGACGGGCAGAGGAGAUCCACAUGGUGAGUCUUGGAGACUACACAUAUCUCGUCUUGAUUUUGCCUGACACUUGGAACCGCUGUCUGUGUGUCUAGUAGAGAUGCUGCACACAGGUAUCUCCCCUCCCCCACCCCGAAUGUCACCUAAACCAAACUAGAACUAAAGUUCCAGUUCUGUGUCACUACAAAGAUUGGUUGGUGAUUCCUGAAUAGAAGUCAUGAUUCUUCUGUUCGUGAUUGCUUGUUACCAAGUUUAUUCCAUACAGAAAAUGUUUUGCAUAUUAAAUCUCAUGGUUGCUAUGAAAACGACACAUUAUCCACCUUUCACAGGUGAAGGAACUGAUUUUGGUGAGGUUGAGCGCCUGGCCAAGGUGCUACGUGCAGCUAUGCACAUUCAAGGUUGUGGUCAUGAAACUCAGUCCCUAGUCUGACUUUUGUGAUGAGUCCCAACACAGUUGUCACCUUUACCAUAGCCCUUAAUGCCUGUCUACAGAAAGACAUGGCUUUUCUGCUGACUUACAGCCACAGUAUUUCCUACUUCCAUGCUGAAUUAUACCAGAAUGAUAAAACGUAUUUUCAUGGAAGAAAAUUGAGAAUUUAGUGAAAUACACUGCUUGCCAGCAGUUUGUAUGUUUCUUCUUCAUUUUGGUCUGAGACUUUUGAUUUAGUUCUGCAUGAAAUCUCAAAGUUUUAAGAGCAGUAAGGGAAGGGCCUUAAGUUACCUGUUAUAGUACUUUGUGACAGAAGAUGUAAAUCUACAACCUGUAAUCAGAGUGACUUUACAAACAAACAACAAAAAGACACCCCUCCCCACAAAAACUCAAAUCAAACCAACCAACCAAACAACAAAAUAAACAAAACCGCCCACUUAAUUGGAAAUGUCCCAACAAAGACCAGAAACUAAGUCCUCUUUCAAUGGCUUUUAAAUUAUUCCACCCUGUCCUAAAGAAACAUGAACUUGUAUUUGACUAAAGGCACCAAUGUUGCAUAGAUUGGAUCUCAUAAAAUCUAGUUUCUUCCUUCCUUGGUACUCAUGUCAAUGUUAAAUACAGCUAUGAACUAGUGUAUCUAUGUCAAGAAGUUGUCAAUGAUCUGUCCCCAAAGAACACAGAAUAGCCAAUGUUGUAUAUAUACUCCUUCUUUAAUCCAGCCAUGGAGUCAUUAGUUCACCUGCACCAAUCCAAUCCAUUGUGCAUCUUCUCAACCAACCUGACCUAUGGCAAUCAUUUGCAAGUGCUAUAAAUGUUUAUCUAUGACUGUUCCAGAAAUAGUUAGGUAUUAACAAAUACCACUAGUCAUUUUGUGGUGUAAUCUUCAUUUAUCUGUAUCACUAAUUCAAGAAGACUUUGGCCAUAAAAACCUAGAACUAAAAAUCGCAUUCUUGGCUUUCAGCCACUCUACAUUUGAUUGACAUUUCACAGUGAUUAAUAAAUUGUCCAUCUAAAUAACAUAGAUGUCCAGAUUGUGAUUUUUGUCUUGAAUGAGACCGUUAAACUGGGUAGGCUAAGGGACAGAUGUCUAACUUUUUGAGGUACCUGGAUAUUUAACUGAUGUAAUUUUCUACUUAGCUGUUUGACAUUGUUGUAUGUAGUCCUGGUCAUGGCUUUGACUGUUCUCUUUUUUCAAAAUGCUUGUUGGCUCUGUCUUACACUGUUCUCACUGAUCUCAUAAAUAAACAGGUUUGUUGUUAAAGAGUAGCCCAAGCACAAAGUGUGAUGUUGUUGACAUUUUACAAGACUUUCCUUGGUCCCUGACUCCCAAUAAAAGAAAUGUUGCAUUAAC
rnacentral:lncRNA from 1 species